GGUAGAAACAAUCGGAUGCUGACGAACUUUUCAAGUGCGACUCCUCUGACACUAAAAUUUCCUGCUCGCGCUCCUCUUCCCACGUCAAUGGCGAUGCCCGGUGAGGGAACGGCCGCCCAGAAAUGGCUUCCCCUGGAAUCCAACCCCGAUGUCAUGAACCAGUUUAUUUGGGGCCUCGGCGUUCCCAAGGAUGAAGUGGAGCUAUAUGAUGUUUAUGGUUUAGAUGAUGAACUUCUUGAGAUGGUGCCUAAGCCCGUGCUUGCGGUGAUUUUCCUUUUCCCUGAUACUGCCCAGGUUGGAUGGUCUGAUAACGAGCAAGUUGUGGGGUGUGGGAAGAAGGAACCUAGUGACAAAGCAUACUUCUUGAAACAAAUUGAAUCUUUGGGAAAUGCUUGUGGAACUAUUGGUCUUCUCCAUGCCAUAGGAAAUGCAACUUCAGAAAUACAGUUAAAUCAUUUGAUCUGCUGGAUUAGGAGAUACCAUGGAGGCGUUCAAGGAGCUUGCUCCAUGUGCACUGGCAUGAAAGUUGACGGAUCAUGCUUGGAUAGGUUCUUCAAGUCAACAUCCAAAAUGGAUCCACUUGAGCGUGCUGCUUUUCUUGAAAAGGACACAGAAAUGGAGAAUGCCCAUUCUCUAGCAGCUACUGCUGGUGAUACAGAGGCUUCUCCAGAUGUAGAUGAACAUUUUAUUUGUUUCACAUGCGUUGAUGGUACGAAUGGUGAAUCUGUCUUCCAUCAUCUUAUAAACUUAGUGACUAUUUACCAUUUAAAUGAGAACUUUAUGAGCUUGAUGGGAUGAAGUCUCAACCAAUAUCACAUGGUUCCUCAUCACCUGCCAGCUUAUUGCAGGAUGCUGUAAGAAUUAUAAAAGCCAUGAUCCAAAAAAAUCCUGAUUCACUCAACUUCAAUGUCAUGGCACUCUCCAAAAAAACAAAGUGAAGAUCAUGCGGUCGCCACCACUGAUUUGACAUUAUUUUAUGGCAGGGACUUGUGUCAAAAGAAAAUGCUGAGGAAAUGGUGAAAGGGAAACCAACAAAUUUGAUAUGUAUUUAUUCUGCAAGUUCGCUUGCCAUGAUUUGUCAUGUAUAAUUGUUUGCCUAGUGGGACCUAACUGUAUACAUCUCCAGAUUCCUUUUCUUCUCACAAAAUUCCCAAACUUUCAUUCUGACAAAUUUAAGUGACCUCCAGUCUUCAUUCUAUAGUUUCUACAACCAGUGAAUACAAGUUUGUUCAGAAAAUACUUGAUCAACCUUGGAGUCACCUUUGUAAGAUGUGGUAUUUUUCCAUUGGCUAUUGCUGCUGUGCCCAAAGUCAUCAUCUAUGUACUUAAGCUGAUCCGGCUUUGCAGUCACUGUAUCAUUAUUUUUUUUUCUUUUCUAUCUUUAUAAACUAUGUAAUUCUCUAAUCCCAUGGAGUCAAUUUGGUUCCUAACAAUGUAUUGUACA